rnacentral:lncRNA from 1 species
CGCAAUACAUCAUUCCGAACAAUAUGCCAACACCCAGAUGCUGCUCUAACUUAUGUUCCAACAAGACAAUAAAACAAUCGAAUCCACAGCGUUUACUUACGCCCCACGCGGUCGCGUUCGAUCCAUCCCGGUAGUGGCCGCAAAAUAGCGUGAACCGCACGCUGCAAUAGGAUGGAAUGGGCAGAAUGCAGGCUGCCUAAAAUGGUGCAACUUUUCGGGACUUUCAUGAGGUUUUUCUAGAUCCCGACCCCGCCAUUUUGGAGGAAAAAUACAUGAACCUGCAGCGGGAUAUUUUGGGGUGCAAGUAGGCAACUUGCACAACUUGUCCACUUGUGCCACUUGCAAGAUAUUAUCAAAGAUACGAGCUAAGCGCGAGUUGGCGAAGAUAUUAUCAAAGGUGCAAGCUAAGCACGAGUUGGCAAGAAUAAUAUCUUCUAUGCAAGCUAAGAUCGAGUUGGCGACAACUUGCAAGGAAAGUUGUAAACAAAUCCACUUGAUGACAACUAAGAACGAGUUGUAAACAACUAAGCAUAGGUUGUAAAGUAAGGCCACUUGAUCUUAAGGAGGUUUAAGUUUUGCCUAUAAAUAGAGGUAGAAAUCUCAUUUGUAAAGCAUGUAGAGUUGAGUGAAUUUAUUCCUUAGAGAGAUUGUAAAGUUUUCCCUUUCAUAUAUACAAAGAAAGUUUCCCGACCUUACUUGUUUUUCAUAUAUCCUUUACUUCAAAAUUCUCCUCUCAACGUGGGUAUAAUUUAGCCUCCUUGGUUAAAUUAUUUGUGAGCGUGAAAAGGCUGACUUAACGUUUUCUCGUGAGGUGCGGGAAUUGUCAAGCGUUAAGGCCGCACGGUUCUAGUUGUUCGGGUGUAACGAAACUAGGUCCGUGACAGUUUGCUCCUAAUACAUAUUGUCCACCUUUGCUGGGAUCUGUAAGGGUACAGUAAAACCUUGAAUCAACUCUAAUUGCUGCACUUUCGAAACAUCGUUUGUCUACGGGAUCCAUCAAGAGACAAUGAAGCAAGUAGGAAAUUUGUCUGAGUCUAUGAAGGUGAUUGAACCCAAACACGAGAUAUUUAACAACCCCUCCUUAUUACCUAUAUUCAUUAAUCUGC